UGUUCCUUCCCGGGUGUUCUUCGCUGCAGUCAGCUCCUCAAAGCGUUUGGUAAGGCCCUCGGUCUUACACCCAGGAUGGCGUGGAACUCUCUUCGAGCCUCCUGCCUCAGCCUGCCUGGUGCUGGGGUCACGGUGUGUGCCAUCGCCCCACGCCCAGAGCUCCCUCCACGCGGGCCCGCGGGCGGUGCAGGGUGACCUGCGCCUGGGAGUUCGCCUCGCCCACACGCCCCCAGGCCAACUCCCCUAAGACCUGCCCGCGACCCGGAGACCACCCUGGAGACAGGAUGAACUCAGUCCUGGGCUCUGAAUCUGCCACUCAGCAAAAGCAUGAGCUCCCUCUUCAGGGACCAGCAGAGACUCAUGGGAUCUAAAAUUGCCGAAGAGUGACCCAGACAACUCUAAUCUCAUCUGGAUCCUGAAGACAUACCCCAGUGCCACGGCAGGUGACAGUUGCCGUGACAAUGAUGGGACCGAUUCCUAAAAGGAAUGAGAAGAGGCAGCUCCUGAACUCCCAGGAAGCACAUGGAUAUGCCUCCUCCUUAGCCUUUCCCUCCCCUCUCCCAACCAACCCCCAAGGGUAGGAAAGUUGAUUUGUGAGUGUAUCUCCUUGUAUUCUAGGCCAAGAAUAAAGGCCUGUUGUUUAAUUA